rnacentral:rRNA from 1 species
GAACGCUGGCGGCGUGCCUAAUACAUGCAAGUCGAACGCUUCUUUCCUCCCGAGUGCUUGCACUCAAUUGGAAAGAGGAGUGGCGGACGGGUGAGUAACACGUGGGUAACCUACCCAUCAGAGGGGGAUAACACUUGGAAACAGGUGCUAAUACCGCAUAACAGUUUAUGCCGCAUGGCAUAAGAGUGAAAGGCGCUUUCGGGUGUCGCUGAUGGAUGGACCCGCGGUGCAUUAGCUAGUUGGUGAGGUAACGGCUCACCAAGGCCACGAUGCAUAGCCGACCUGAGAGGGUGAUCGGCCACACUGGGACUGAGACACGGCCCAGACUCCUACGGGAGGCAGCAGUAGGGAAUCUUCGGCAAUGGACGAAAGUCUGACCGAGCAACGCCGCGUGAGUGAAGAAGGUUUUCGGAUCGUAAAACUCUGUUGUUAGAGAAGAACAAGGACGUUAGUAACUGAACGUCCCCUGACGGUAUCUAACCAGAAAGCCACGGCUAACUACGUGCCAGCAGCCGCGGUAAUACGUAGGUGGCAAGCGUUGUCCGGAUUUAUUGGGCGUAAAGCGAGCGCAGGCGGUUUCUUAAGUCUGAUGUGAAAGCCCCCGGCUCAACCGGGGAGGGUCAUUGGAAACUGGGAGACUUGAGUGCAGAAGAGGAGAGUGGAAUUCCAUGUGUAGCGGUGAAAUGCGUAUAUAUAUGGAGGAACACCAGUGGCGAAGGCG